ACUCAUAUCUUGCAGAGGAAAUACCAUGUUAUAAAAGUGGUUUUCUCAGGGGGAUGCUUAUCUAUUGCACUUCAGGUGUGCUGCUGAUCCCUGUGAUUUCCCCAAAUGUGGGAAACUCAACUGCAUAAUAUGUGUUAAUGGGGGAUUGUGUUUGUGAUUUCCCUGG
rnacentral:snRNA from 1 species